AGAUAUAUAUAUAUAUAUAUAUAUACCCUGUUUUCCCGAAAAUACACCCUACCCCGAAAAUAAGCCCUAGCUGGAUUAUCGGGGUGGGCUGCAAUAUAAGCCCUACCCCGAAAAUAAGACCUAGGCAGGGCGGCUGCCGGCCUUUAAAUGCCACAGCCGACUGAGCGCUCUAUAGAGAGCGCUCAGACGGCUGCCGCACUGCCUCACCUCCCCUUCCCUGGAGCUCGGCCACGCUACAGGGAA
rnacentral:lncRNA from 1 species